UUUUUUGACCAGUAAAUAGCAAAGUGCAAAAAAUGUGCAGCUCAAAAUAGUAAAAUCAAAUUAUUAAAAUGGAAUUGUACACUCCUGUAUGAUCAGGCCACUCAGUAUGCUAUUCUCUUGCUCUUCGUACAUCCCGGCUCAACCGGUCCCUGCUUCACCUACUCACGUGAACAGUGCUUGCCCCCUGCCGCAGCUAGUGAUUGUUCUAAUCCUUUGGCUCCACCUGCUAGUUUAUUAAAGGGAAACAUCUGCCCUCAUGAUGGUUGUUAACCUGAGGGGCUGUAAGGGACAUGCGCCACCUGGUUUCCCUGGUAACUGAUGAGCCAACCUGACAUCAAUUCCCCCUAUAAAUGGUAGCCUCCUUCUUCCCCAAGCAGUAAAGAUGGCUGCUGUGGCUUGUCUGCUGUACGUGUGGGGCAUUGCACCAGGACCCUUAUUUCAGACAGGUAAGAUCCCCUAUCCAAUAUUACUGAUCUCUGUCACUGUCUCAAGGCUCUUUCUUCAGUGUCCAGGCUGUGCAACUACAAUACAAGGCUUGCAGGCCUGCAGAGUGCAGCACAACAGUUGGUGAACAAGUCAGGACACCAGGGAAACUCCCAUGAGCACUGAGAUGUUGGGAAAUAAGAACAGGGAAUGGACACUUGUGGAGUUAAGCCUGGGGUGGCUGUCCACUAGCACGUGGGGCCCCAAAGUUGUGAGAGGCAAUCCCGAGGCGGCCGUCCACCAGCGUGGGCGUGCCCCUGGCAGCUGUCGACCAUGAGAGAGAUCGUUCUCUUCCAUUUAUGUUGAUAAUAGCCUGUUAACCUCAGAGUCUCUUUCAAGUUUAAGAGUAGCAGCCCCGUGCUCAUGGUUCAUCUUGACUGCACAGGGAUGGCUGGUGAAUACAGACAGAACGCAAGGACCUGGAUUAUCUACAAAAUACAGGCAUACCCCUGACCCACCGCCCCUAAACAAUUACAGACACAGGCUUUAGGGAUAAUAACUCAGGAACAGACUUGUGAAUUAGACAUGGCCAGUUACCCAGGUUUCGCUGGGGCCUGUGACAAUGGCAAAAUGAUAAGACUACCCUUUUUUGGUCAUAGCUAUGGCAAUGGUCAGAGCAACGAUACAGUGUGAGCGAACAACAGCUAUAUGCAGUCUACAAUGCAUUACAACAGGUGGAAGACAUAAAAGGCCUACGUAAGUCAUCGAGCAAUGCAAAAACCCACUAUUCAGGGUCUAGAAGAGCUGUGCACGACAUACAGGACUCCCAUCGACAUUGAUAGUGACCAAGGAACCCACUUUACCCACCACAAAGUGCAGGAAUGGGCCUCUAAAAAUGACAUAUGCUGGCAUUUCCACCUGCCCUACAACUCCACUGCUGCUGGGCUAACUGAAAGGAUGAAAGGACUACUUAAACAACAAUUGAGAUGUGAAAUCUAUAACCGAACAUUCCAGGAGCAAUCAUCCCAGUGCCUACGCCACGUUAACCCAGAGACAACUAGUCAACACCAUCCAAGUUCAACUGUUGACCACCAAAGGACCGCUGCCGAUUGAUUAUAGGUCAGGACAAUGACUCACUUUUGCCCUUGCCACAGAAUCUACCCACCGAGAAACACAUUAUAAAAUGGCCCUGGGACUGGCAAGUAAGUCCUCAAUAGUUUGGGUUUGCUGCCCUGUGUGGGGAAUAGAAUUACAAAAGGGACUUACAGAUCUCACCUGUCUUCCACCCGGCCCCGCCUAAGACUACUAAGGUAAUUAAUCCGGGCCCCAUAAUGGAGAAAAGCACCAUUAUUUUAACCUGUGGUCUGUUACUCCGCCUCUCCAGUAUUUGACAUCAACUGUGCGGACUGAGUGUGGACGGGUGGUGUGGUACUGCAGGCCGCGACAAAAGCCACAGAGCCUAUGUUCCAGAGACAGACAACAGACAAAAUUCAAAACUGCUGGAAGGAGCAUGUUCUGGCACAAAAGUUCUGAAAUGGCAAGAACUUGAUAUGCAUGAAGCUUUUGUUGCUGGAAAAGGUAAGCAAAGGGUGAGAUGGUACAUGCAGGUGCUCAUGCAGGCCAUUGUUAAGAAGCUGAGUCUUUACGUACAUAGGAAGCCACUGAAAACUCUUAUGUAGGAAGCCGAUGUGGCUUUAUUGAAGAAAAAGCAAACAAACAUAAAGGCAAAACCAAAGCAAACCACACUGGCACACUGGCUGCUGUAAAGAGAAUGGGUGAUGAAAACCGGAAGAAAAGAGACCUGAUAGGGAGUUCACUGCAAUAAUACAUCUACCCAGGAGAUGAUGACGGCUUACAUUAAAGGGAUAGCAGAGGAAUGGGAGAGAAGGUGAUAGGUUCAAGAUGUACUGUGGAAAGAAAACUAAGAAGACUGGCUGAUAGAUUAGAUGUGGGGAGGAAUCAAGAAUGACCCUAGGAUUUUUAUCUGAAUCACUAGGUAGACAAUAGUUCUGUUUACUUAGAUGGCAAGAACUGAAGAAGAAAUAGUGUGGAAGAUCCCUCUACCUGCCACACAGUUCCACUUCUCUCCUCCUUCUUUGGUAACAACAUUCCGAGUUUAUAUUAAAGAUGGAAAUGGGUCCAGCUAAAAAUAUUUUUGUCUUUUCCUUGCAGCUAGGUGUGUGCCCAUUGGCUGGGUUCUGGCCAACAAAACAUAAUUGGAAAUAACGUGAGAUUUCUGGAAAGUUUAUUUCAAGCUAAGUGAUGUUCCCUUUUCACUCUUUUAUCUUUCCCGUCUUCCUCCUGAAACCUGAACAUGAUGGGUGGUGUCCCAAGACCACGAUGGAUACUGAAAUGAUUUGAAAGACGGAGGCACCUGCCAAGACAGUGUGACUCAGAAACAUAAAAAGAAACCUGAUGACCAAGGAGCCUUCACAACAGCUUUGAAUGAAGACCUUCAGCCCUCUUUCAUAUAAAAGAGAGAAAAAAUUUAUAUUUUUAAGUCAUUUUACUGAUAGUUUCUUUUAUUUGCAGCUGAAUUCAAUCUCCACUGAUACCAACUGGCUUGAGGAGAGGGGUGAAAAAUCAAGAACUAUUUCUGAAACACUAAGUUGAGGUAUCUAUUAGACAUCCAAAUGGACAUGUUAAAUAAACAACUGAAUAUAGAAAUCUUGUCCUAAAAUGAGAGACCAGCACUGGAGAUAUACAUUUGGGAGCUACUGAAUCUUCGUUCCCCGACCAGGGAUGGAACCCAUGCUCCUGCAGUGGAGGUGCAGAGUCCUAACCACUGGACCACCAGAGAAUUCCCAGGAAAUCUUCUUAUUCACAUUAUCUUUUUCCCUGACGAUUACAAAUAAAUUAGGUAAAGAGUGGAUACUCUUCAUUAUGACAAGGUUGAGAAAGAAGGAAAUCAUCUGAACCUUCAAUUAUACUUUGAAGCAGACUCAGACUGCAACAACACUCUAUAAACAUUCAAACAUCUAAAGAGGCCAUUAAUAAAUAAUCGCCUGAGAUUUAACAGCAAUAACAACAACAACAAAAUCCCAAAUGCUCCAUAGCUACAGACCACUCUUCCAGCUCCAGGUAGCCACCUCCAUGAGUGAGUAUGCUCCUAUUCAGAGGAACCAGGAGUGUAAAGGAUUUAGCUCAGUGCAACCAGUAAACUCACUGAAAAACAGCGCAAAGCACAUGUCCUAUCAAUGGGUAUCUAUAUUGCCAAUUAUCAUUGUCAGUAUUAUAAUGGAACACACAUCUUGAGAGGCAGCUAAGCCUCAUAGUUCAGAACACAAGUUCUAGAGCCAGACUGAGUAUGAAUUCUGCCUCCACCACUUAUAAGCUAUGACUUUGGGCAAGUUGUUCAACCACUCUGGCCUGCAAAACCAUUAACUGUGAAAAGGAAAUAAUAAUGUGUCUACCUCAGAGAUCUAUAGGGAUUGUGAUGGUUUAUGUGUCAACUUGACUUGCCACAGGGUGCCAAGAUUAAACAUCAUUUCUGGGUAUGCUGUGAGGAUAUCUAGGGAUGAGAUUAGCAUUUGGAUCGGUAGACUCAGUAAAGUAGAUGGUCCUCCCCAAUGUGGGUGGGCAUCAUGCAACCCACUGAAGGCCUGAAUAGAACAAAAGGAGGAGGAAGGGGGAAUUCAUCUUUUACUGCCUCGCUACUCUAGCUGGGGCAUCACGUUUCUUCUUCUGCCCUUGAACUGGGAUUUAUACCAUCAGCUCCCCUAUUUCUCAGGUCUUCACAUUGGGUCUGGGUCUCUAGCUUGCAGACAGUAAAUCAUGGGGACUUCUUAACGUCCAUAAUUGCAUGAUCAAAUUCCUCAUAAUAUGAAACAAAACCAAGAGGAGAUAUAUACCUGGAGAACCCUAAUACAGGGGUUAAUGAGUUAAUACAUGUUAUCUAGCACCUAGAAAGUCCUCAGUAAGUGUUAAUUACCCUCAUUGUUAUUUUCAUUACUAUUACUGUGUAACCCAAAGAGUAGGAACAGCUCAAAGACUUAUGAACUUUGUUCUAAGAAAGAAGGACAGUCAGUCAUAAUUAAAUGGAUUCAAGAAAUCAAAACACAUCCUGGAAACCAGGGCUGCUGUGGGGGCUGAGUGUGGAAGAAAGAAUCAGUAUCCAGAAAGGUCUUCCCCAUGACUUCCUGGUCUUUAAAGGAGAUAUUCUACUAGCAGUAAGGCCAUCCCAACUCUUUCUUGUGCACAGUGGGAAAAGACAUGGGAAACCUCAGUGAGACGUCUCUAACCACUAUCCACAUAAAAGGAGAGAAAAACACUGUGAGGCUGAGAGGUAACACCUUGAGGCCAGGUGGUGUGAGAGAUGUAUGAUGAUGAGUGAGCAAUGGGACAGAGGACCCAGGUGAGGCCACUGGAGGACCACCUGGCCACAUAUUCAGAGUCUUGCUUCCUGCUAACAACUUUAAGGAGUUUUAACAAUAUUCUGUCAAACUUACGCCAUCUCCUCUGUGAGCAGCUCCCUGCUCCCAACUCCCCACCCCCGACCCCUAGGUGAUAGCAGAUGCCUCAAGCCUUUCAUGGGUAGCUAAGGGACGUUAGGCCAACCUCACUAUCUGCUUGAGUUUCUGACUCUACUAUGCAACUUCUGCCAAAGAUUUCAGGGUAAGACUUACGGUAGGGAAAAAUACUGCCUCAGGAGGGAAACUGCAAGAUAUGCAGACUUAAUGAAGUUUGACUUUCACUAAAGGUAGUGAAAACGGGGAAUUUGGGUGAUUUGUUUUCAAGCACUUAGGACACAAUACUCUCCUUGGUUAUAUAUUACUGAAAGGACUCAUAACCAAUGGAAGGUGAAGGGCGGAAGUCCUGGUUCUCACCCAGCAUCUGAUAAAGGUCUCCCUUUUGGGCUCAUAAUGACAGAACAUCUCGUGAAUAUUUAAAAGGAAACACCUUUUUGGAUACGGAUUCAAAUAAAUGACCUUACUGUACAACAAUGAACUCUUCUUUGCCAGGACCCCCUCCUCCUCCUCCCUGCUUCCCAUAUACUUCCAGGUUCUUUUGUAGGCACUGAUCCAUGUCACAGUUUUGAAUAUAUAUAUGUGUAUAUAUAUAUAUAUAUACACACACAUAUACAUACACACACACAUAUAUCCAGCUUUUUCCUGAGUGGGGUUGAGAGGGUAGGCAUGGGGUAAAAAUAAUACACCUUUAUCUUUCUUUACAAAUUGUAAAUUAACUCAAUUUUCUAAGCUUUCCCCCCACCCCACCCCUUUUCUGUCUGUAUCAACACAGAACUUGUUUAGCCAGAGGAGUUUGUUGUGGUGAGACUGGCAAAUAUAUGAAUAGACUGUCGUCAAACAGCCUUGAAAAAACAAGUAUUUGUUCACCAUAUGAAAGCACGUUCACACAAACCUCUCUCUAUCAAAUCACUGAGCAAAUAUUCUUAAAAUCUGUAGUGGGAUAGAUGUUCUACAUCAAGUUUACAACAAAACAACAACAAAAAACUCAAAAUGUAUUAUACACGAGGCACCAUGCUUAGCACUGGUGUGGAUACAAAGGUAUGCAAAACCUGUACUGUUUAGGUAUACAGUAAAGCUAUGAACUUGAGCCAUUUGCUUAAUGUCUCCUGGUGGGCUUCAGUUUCUACUUUCUUACAACAGGACCGAAUUGACACACCUCUGUGGUUGUAUCUACCCUUAAAAUCAACCUAACUAGAAUGGUCAAACAUAUACACAGGAAAUUUAGCCAAUAAUGUAAAAAUACAAAGAAUGUUAAGUGUGUGACGAGUGUUAUUGCUCCUAUACGAGUUCAGAGGAAAGAGUUCACUGCAGGCUGAGUGUUGCAGGGAAGGCUUCCAGGAGGAGGGAGGACCUCACCUGGACACUGAAGACAGAGUAGGCACUGGACGGCCAUGAAGACAGGAUAGGGAGUUCUAUCAGUAACUUGGCAGCGCAUUUGUGGGUGGUAAAGACUGGAUGCGAUGACAUGAAAAGGAAGUUUUAUUGAGAGCACAAGGUAGGUUUGGGGAAAUGUAUUGCAGUUUGACUAUGAUUCAUCCAUUCUCCACUUUUCUUUUGUAUGAAAAAUCUCAAACUAAGAAACAUGCAGUGCUCUGUGGGAUAAAAUCAUUCUGGCAAUGCUAUUAAUUGUUUAUUUUUGUAAUUUUCUAAUUGUAUUAUGUAUUUAAUAGAAUAUAAAACUGAAAAAUCAGCUUUCAUAACAUUUUCCAAUUUGGAUUUUUUCAUACAGUAAAAAAAUGUUAGCUUUAUAUAUUAAUAAACCAUCUUAAAGUACUGGACAAUACUAAAUAUCAACUGAAAAAUAACUAAAAAUGAUUUUGUAAAAUAUUAUUAUUAGUCUGCCAAUCAACACAUGUUCAUUUGGCACCUACUACGUGCUAGGCUCCAUGGCAGGAGCUGGGGCAGAUCCGAACAAUAAACGCGUUCCGGCUGGAAUAAGAAACACCGAGUUGAAAUGCUGAAGAGGGUGUGGAGAAAAGGGAACCUUCCUGCACUGCUGGUGGGAAUGCAGCUGGUGCAGCUACUGUGGAAAACAGUAUGGACAUUCCCGAGGAAACUAAAAAUAGAAUUACCAUAUGAUCCAGCCAUCCCACUCCUGGGCAUAUAUACAGACAAAACUACAGUUCAAAAAGAUACAUGCACCCCUAUGUUCACAGCAGUACUAUUCACAAUAGCCAAGACAGGGAAACAACCUAAAUGUCCAUCGACAGAUGAAUGGAUAAAGAAGAUGUGGUAUAUACACAUAUACAAUGAAAUACUACUCAGCCAUAAAAAAGAAUGAAAUAAUGCCAUUUGUAGCAACAUGGAUGGAUCUAGAGACUAUCACACUAUGUGAAGUAAGUCAGAAAGAGAAAGACAAAUACCAUAUGAUAUCACUUACAUGUGGAAUCUAAAAUAUGACACAAAUGAACCUAUCUAUGAAACAGAAACAAAAUCAGGGACAUAGAGAAUAGACUAGUGGUUGCCAAGGGGGAGGGGGUGGGAGAGGGAUGGAUUGGAAAUUUGGGAUUAGCAGAUGCAAACUAGUAUAUAUAAAAUGCAUUAAACGACAAGGUCCUACUUUAUACCACAGGGAACUAUAUUCAACAUCCUGUGAUAAACCACAAUGGAAAAGAAUAUGAAGAAAAAUGUAUGUAUGUACAACUAAGUCACUUUGCUGCACAGCAGUAAUUAUUAACACAACAUUGUAAAUCAACUAUACUUCAACAAAAUAAAAUAAGGUGUACAUAACAAAACCUGGUGCUCUGAAUCUGACCUCUUGCAUUUCCUCUAGGGGAGGUCUCUAAAAGAGUGAAAUGACCUUAUACGUAAUAGAACUUGGAUGUUUAUGUUCCAACACAUAUAUAAUUUUCACCUGCGGGACAAAAUGGCUCUGUAAGAAUAUGUUUAUUUUUUGAAUCUAUUUCCUCUUUUAUGAUGUAAACUUUGAAGUGAUAUUUCAUAAAGUUUCUGCCUUCUCAAAUUUCCAGGCAUAUC